UGGGGAAUUUUGGACAAUGGGCGAAAGCCUGAUCCAGCCAUGCCGCGUGAGUGAAGAAGGCCUUCGGGUUGUAAAGCUCUUUCAGCCGGAAAGAAAUCGCGCAGGAUAAUACUCUGCGUGGAUGACGGUACCGGAAGAAGAAGCACCGGCUAACUACGUGCCAGCAGCCGCGGUAAUACGUAGGGUGCGAGCGUUAAUCGGAAUUACUGGGCGUAAAGCGUGCGCAGGCGGUUAUGUAAGACAGAUGUGA
rnacentral:rRNA from 1 species